CCUUCAUAUACAUGUAAGACAACACGUUAAGUAAUAAUUCCUGUCUUUGAAAAAGUUUCUGCACAUUCAUUUGCAUGAAUAAAUAACCUAUAACACAUAAAAUACUUGUAUUUUAUCAGUAGAAACUACCCUAUUACCAGCAUACAUGAUCAUCCUGUUCUAUGUGUCCACAGAAAAAGAAAGGGAAAAUUUACAACUCCAAGUUUUUCUGUCUGAUCUUACCAACUGUUUGGGCCAGAUGUACCCUCAACUAAUAUAUAGAUUCUGUACUAGACAUAUCCAAUGGAAAACAAAAGGAAAGGGAAUAAAGAUUUACAACUGCAAGAUCUUUGGUUCGUCAUGCAACUGAGAGUGCAGUCACCCACCAUGCCGUGGGAGCCGCCUUUUAUACAAAUGACCAGGGCAAGAAGCUAGGAGAGUAAUAGUCGACAUUAUGAGCAGUGAGAUUUCUAUGGUUGCAUAAUUAAAUAUUUUUCCUUUCCUAGUGAAGAACUGGACAGAACAAGUUGUUCGCGGAAGUGGAAAGGAAAUCAGAGGUCGUAGUUUUAACAGCGAGGCAAUCCAUGUGGCCUUGUUGGAUAAUGUGGAAAACAGUUUUCCUUGAUGUUGAUGGAAACUUGUGCAUCCGAACUUUAUUGGCGAAGCACCAGAAACCAGCUCUUUUACAUCACCUUUUUCUUCUCAUGAUGACCUAGAUCCCUGUGAUACAAUCAUACAGCUUGUCAUUGCACAAGGAAAAUCAUGCAUCAAUGUCAGCCAGCGUUCAGGUAAUAAAAAUUGAUUCUCUCAAAAUAAGCCUCGGUUUCUUUCCUUUUUCUUUUUUCGUUUUUCUUUCUAAAAACAUGUUUAAAAAUUGUACUCUCAGAAGCUUCUGGUUUGGUUCAGUGGGUCAUAAUCAUAAGCAUCACCAGCUUUGACAAAUCGCCCCUUCACGCGUCUUCUUACAUCAGCCCUUGCUUUGCGGGAGGCAUACCUCACUUUCUUCUCAAACCUGUAACAGAAUUAGCCAUGCCAUGAAAUAUUCAUGUCGUUUGAGUGGCAGAACAAUAUCUAUAGGAAACUGAAAAUUAAACAAGAGUUACAGCUAAAAACAUCCAUUUUAGUUACAAUCCAGAGUUUGAAAUACAGCCAAAAACAUCCAUUUUAAUUACAGUCCAGAGUUUGAAAAUGUUUCUGUAGAUAAUAAAAAGAGGUGAACAGAUAAACAUGCACUAUCUAUAUUACUGUGUUUUUUCUGAAUAAUUUUUUCCCCAACCAUUAGUGAUUAGACACCUUCAAAGAUGGUUCAGAGAUUAAAGCCUUCACUUAAGUCUGAAGCCAAAACAGGAGCUUCAAGAAAAAACAACCAUAUUAUCAGCCGAGAAAUCAGAUGCACAAAUGUGUCUUUACACAUGAAUUACAAACACUUUAAGUAAAAGACACAGACAUGCUUAUCAUCACUCGAGCACUUAAAUUAUCUAGUUCUUGCAAGUUAUAAGAUAUUCGUCAGACUGAAUUUUACAGUCAUGUAAAAAAUUUCAUUAACUGAAACACGAAAUGUUAGAAUAUGUAAAUAAAGAGAAGACAAAACAUGAAACUCUCAACUUCUUAAAGGCACGUAAAACAUACAUAUAUAUACAACAAACAAAUUAGUCGAGCUAAUGACAUUUUAAGGAUUACUAUACAAAGUGGCCAAUGUAGUAAUUCCAAGUGAAGAUUGUGAGAAUGAAUAUCCUAAACAGAGUUCUGAUAUUAUUGUGUAGGUAGUAUACUUACAUGCGUGUCUUCUUCUUUUCCUUGUAUCGCAUUACAGCAUUACUUCGGUUAGAUGAUGGGCAUGAACUCUCCGGGCAUGGGGGACACCAUGGAGGUUCUCCCAUGAAAAGCAUUGAAGAAGCUCCACAAUCUUGAUAAUCUCCAACACUACUCUCUCCAGUAAGGCCAGAAAAUGAGAGGCUUGAAUGCCCUUGCCUUGUUGUAAAACAAAGGAUUGGUUCUGUUUUAGUACUCAUCAUGGAAUCAGCAGAUGCUGCAUUGCUGCAUGCUGGCUGCAUUGCAUUAACCAGUCCAACCGACGAUCCCUGGAGAAAUCUAACCAUAAGCAUUUUAAGUAUGAACUCAUAAAUGCCUACUGCUACCAAUGUCCCAAAGGCAACUGUAAGACAAACAGAUCUUGAAUAGAAUUAACGAUCAAAUUAUCAUACAAAUAAAUAAGGGAAAAAAUUGUGUUUGUGAGUUAGCUUGGCUAAUGGUUUCUUUUAAGAAAUACAAAUCAAAUGUAUGUUAAAAAUCCAAAAUAUUAAUGCUCAAAGUCUCAGAUGGCACUUGAACUGCAUAUACAUAACCAAAAUUAACCGUAUUAACAAAUAUUGCCAACAGUAUCUUUUAUGAUGAAAGAGAACAAAAAAAAAAAGGUGCAUGUACAUGCAUAUAAAAAGAGAGUUUCAUAUUAGAUGUUCUGACUUGUGAGAAAAACGUAAUGCCCAUCCUAAAGCCACAAUCUAACACCAUAUAUAAUUAACAGGAUGCAAUAUCUGCAUUCAAUGACCAUGAAAGAAAAGAAACUUAAAGAAGAUUACUACAAUGCUGUUCUUAAGUCAGUCUAGUCAGGAACUAAGGUUGCAUCAAAGUAAAUGGAAAACACUUUCUGCACAGGUGCAUCCACAUAUUGACAAUAUGAACUUAGCACCUUUUUUUACAAUUAAAUCCAAUUCUAUUAAGUUGAUCAAUUAGGUUCAUAGUCUUAUAGUUGUAUCCUUUGUUAACUGUUCAAAAUUGUCCUUAAUUUGUUAAUGUGGACUUUAAGCACGAGAUGUGUGCGAACUACACGAUAUUGAGAAGCAUAUUAAGAAUGUACUUCACCUCCCUAGAGCAUACAUAAUUUGACAAUAGAAAUCUUAUGUAACAGUGUUUCAUCUAAUUUAAUAGCCGCAUAUGCUUUGGGUAGUGAAGUUCAUGUCACAUCACCUUGUUCUCAAAACAAUGAGUUGAUCAGUCCUGCUUAGUUUCAAUAUUGACAACUUAAUGGUAAUUUUGGAUAAAGUAAUAACUAAAAACGUGGUUGGAACGCUAAUUAAAGUUUGUUAUCUGAAUUGAUAAAAUAAGAAAAGGAUAUAAUUGUAAAAGUGCUAAAGUUUUCCACAUAUUUCAUUUAGUAAAUUCAUUUGACUUAGUUGAAAUUCUGUAAAACCCCCUUCCUUACUUAACACACACACACACACACAAUUGCACAUGUAUUUGGGUAUUUAUUAAGCCUUUGCGAACUUGUUUUAAUAAUUUUCUAGACACAAUUGGGAUAUGGAAAAAUAUCACACACUUCCGUUGGAACUACUCUCUUCUAUCAUUUGUCAACAAAAAAUGAAGCCGAAUUAUUUUUUGAACAGAUCAAGGGGGAUGAAACAUACAUACCAUUUGAACCACAGAAUGAGACACAAGAAGCUAAACAAAUGAAAGGGCCAUGCCAAUUAAGAUGUAUGAGCAGCAUAAACAUAGGACAAGAAGAGAGAACCUCAGCAGCCACUGCACCCUGACAGUUGGAAUCGGCUGCGGACAUGUCCUUUGACCCAAACAAGCUCUCAAUUCCACCAUUCUCAAAAAGCUCUUCUGAAUUAUUGAGGGUAACACCAAAGAGUUCUUCAUAGUUUUCAAGAUUCAAAUCCACUUCAUCCAUAUUGAAGUCCUUGUAAAGAUCAUCAUCUUCACAAAGUGCGGGACCUUUAGUUCCAGGACAGCAUAACUUUAGCAAAGGCGCAUUUACAGAUCCCACUGGCUGCUCUGGAUUGUUUGGCAUAGAGAUUAAUUCAGGCACUGAAGAAGUUCCACCAUAAACACCUGAUUUAGCUAUAUCUGCCUCAUCAACAGUAACAGUACUGGAUGCAUUUUGUUUAGUUGUGUUCUCAGGACCCCAAGCCCUACUAGAGCUAUUUUCAAUGAUGCUCAUCAAUCCCAACUCCUGCUCACAAGUAGCUUCACCAACAGAAGGGAAGUCCAAAAUAAACGACCAUAAUGAAGAAAGUUCAGAAGCUGAUGGACAGCCAGUGUAACAAUUGAUGGUUUGCCUUUUAUGGUUGGUAAUUGAGGAAGAGGUGCCAUGAACCAUCCAAUCACAAUUUUGACAAAGAGAGAUCCUCUCUUCAGCACAUCUAAUUAAUGCGGGUUGUGCACUGCAUCUUUCACAUACGAGGGUUCGUGAAUGCCUUUUGGACAAAGCAUUAGCUGAGUGCACAUUUCGAUCACACGACAAACAUAAACAUGCAGCAUCUGACCUGCAGUAGACCAUGGACCUCUGAUCCCCACAAAAAUCACAAAUGUAACCCAUGUUCCAACUUAGAUUUCUCUCUAGACUGUUUAAAUCCAAACCAAAAUCAGAUGUCAGCCAAGGAAAAUCAGCUUCUUUGAUGCAGCACAAUUCCACUGAGGGCUUUUACAAGCAUAUGAAGAAACAAGAUCUGCAAAAGUGGUUUCAAUUAUAGUAUAAGAUUUACAAGGAGAAGAAGAAGAAAGAAAUCAUAGAACAGAGAAAGCUAUCUGUGAAAUCAGUCUCUGAGAGUUUCCUCUUCUAUCUAAUGCAUAAAAUAAAAUUAAAAAAAAAAUUGGAGAAAAAAAGAGAACGAAAUAGGAAGAGAUGGAUAGAUAAUGGGUGG
rnacentral:misc_RNA from 1 species